rnacentral:rRNA from 1 species
UGCGAGUCGAGCGGUAACAUUUCUAGCUUGCUAGAAGAUGACGAGCGGCGGACGGGUGAGUAUUGCUUGGGAAUAUGCCUUAUGGUGGGGGACAACAGUUGGAAACGACUGCUAAUACCGCAUAACGUCUACGGACCAAAGGAGGGGAUCUUCGGACCUUUCGCCAUUUGAUUAGCCCAAGUGAGAUUAGCUAGUUGGUAAGGUAAAGGCUUACCAAGGCGACGAUCUCCAGCUGGUUUGAGAGGAUGAUCAGCCACACUGGGACUGAGACACGGCCCAGACUCCUACGGGAGGCAGCAGUGGGGAAUAUUGCACAAUGGGCGAAAGCCUGAUGCAGCCAUGCCGCGUGUGUGAAGAAGGCCUUCGGGUUGUAAAGCACUUUCAGUUGUGAGGAAAGGGAUGUAGUUAAUAACUGCAUUCUGUGACGUUAACAACAGAAGAAGCACCGGCUAACUUCGUGCCAGCAGCCGCGGUAAUACGAGGGGUGCAAGCGUUAAUCGGAAUUACUGGGCGUAAAGCGUUCGUAGGCGGUCUAUUAAGCAAGAUGUGAAAGCCCAGGGCUCAACCUUGGAACUGCAUUUUGAACUGGUAGACUAGAGUACUGUAGAGGGUGGUGGAAUUUCCAGUGUAGCGGUGAAAUGCGUAGAGAUUGGAAGGAACAUCAGUGGCGAAGCGGCCAUCUGGACAGAUACUGACGCUGAGGAACGAAAGCGUGGGGAGCGAACAG